rnacentral:rRNA from 1 species
CCUACGGGGUGCAGCAGUGAGGAAUAUUGGUCAAUGGCCGGAAGGCUGAACCAGCCAUGCCGCGUGAAGGUCAGUGCCCUAUGGGCGUUAAACUUCUUUUGUGCGGGAGCAAUAAUGGUCACGUGUGGCCAGACGAGAGUACCGUACGAAUAAGCAUCGGCUAACUCCGUUCCAGCAGCCGCGGUAAUACGGGGGAUGCAAGCGUUAUCCGGAUUUUUUGGGUUUAAAGGGUGCGUAGGCUGGGAGGUAAGUCAGCGGUGAAAUGCCCCCGCUCAACGGGGUGAAGUGCCAUUGAUACUGCCUUGCUGGAGUGCGGAUGACGUGGGAGGAAUGUGUGGUGUAGCGGUGAAAUGCAUAGAUAUCACACAGAACACCGAUUGCGAAGGCAUCUCACGAAUCCGCGAUUGACGCUGAUGCACGAAAGCGUGGGUAUCAAACAGGAUUAGAUACCCCAGUAGUC